UUAUACAUUUAGGCACUAAUAGUGGCCUUCCAUCAAAUGAAGCCAUAUUAUUAGUUCUUAACAAAAUAAGAAAGUUUAAAGACAAUCUUUAAAUGCCUAACAAACUUCCUAAGUAGUAAGCAAAAAACAUGGUGGCCAAACUCUUCUCCACACUUUUCCUUGCUUGUUCCUCUUCUACUUGGCUCCUCCACCUAUAUACAAUUAUACAAG
rnacentral:lncRNA from 1 species